AGGGCGGGACACGUGGUAUCCUGUCUGAAUAUGGGGGGACCAUCCUCCAAGGCUAAAUACUCCUGACUGACCGAUAGUGAACCAGUACCGUGAGGGAAAGGCGAAAAGAACCCCGGCGAGGGGAGUGAAAAAGAACCUGAAACCGUGUACGUACAAGCAGUGGGAGCACAGAGCAAUCUGUGUGACUGCGUACCUUUUGUAUAAUGGGUCAGCGACUUAUAUUCUGUAGCAAGGUUAACCGAAUAGGGGAGCCGAAGGGAAACCGAGUCUUAACUGGGCGUUAAGUUGCAGGGUAUAGACCCGAAACCCGGUGAUCUAGCCAUGGGCAGGUUGAAGGUUGGGUAACACUAACUGGAGGACCGAACCGACUAAUGUUGAAAAAUUAGCGGAUGACUUGUGGCUGGGGGUGAAAGGCCAAUCAAACCGGGAGAUAGCUGGUUCUCCCCGAAAGCUAUUUAGGUAGCGCCUCGUGAAUUCAUCUCCGGGGGUAGAGCACUGUUUCGGCAAGGGGGUCAUCCCGACUUACCAACCCGAUGCAAACUGCGAAUACCGGAGAAUGUUAUCACGGGAGACACACGGCGGGUGCUAACGUCCGUCGUGAAGAGGGAAACAACCCAGACCGCCAGCUAAGGUCCCAAAGUCAUGGUUAAGUGGGAAACGAUGUGGGAAGGCCCAGACAGCCAGGAUGUUGGCUUAGAAGCAGCCAUCAUUUAAAGAAAGCGUAAUAGCUCACUGGUCGAGUCGGCCUGCGCGGAAGAUGUAACGGGGCUAAACCAUGCACCGAAGCUGCGGCAGCGACGCUGAUGCGUUGUUGGGUAGGGGAGCGUUCUGUAAGCCUGCGAAGGUGUGCUGUGAGGCAUGCUGGAGGUAUCAGAAGUGCGAAUGCUGACAUAAGUAACGAUAAAGCGGGUGAAAAGCCCGCUCGCCGGAAGACCAAGGGUUCCUGUCCAACGUUAAUCGGGGCAGGGUGAGUCGACCCCUAAGGCGAGGCCGAAAGGCGUAGUCGAUGGGAAACAGGUUAAUAUUCCUGUACUUGGUGUUACUGCGAAGGGGGGACGGAGAAGGCUAUGUUGGCCGGGCGACGGUUGUCCCGGUUUAAGCGUGUAGGCUGGUUUUCCAGGCAAAUCCGGAAAAUCAAGGCUGAGGCGUGAUGACGAGGCACUACGGUGCUGAAGCAACAAAUGCCCUGCUUCCAGGAAAAGCCUCUAAGCAUCAGGUAACAUCAAAUCGUACCCCAAACCGACACAGGUGGUCAGGUAGAGAAUACCAAGGCGCUUGAGAGAACUCGGGUGAAGGAACUAGGCAAAAUGGUGCCGUAACUUCGGGAGAAGGCACGCUGAUAUGUAGGUGAAGUCCCUCGCGGAUGGAGCUGAAAUCAGUCGAAGAUACCAGCUGGCUGCAACUGUUUAUUAAAAACACAGCACUGUGCAAACACGAAAGUGGACGUAUACGGUGUGACGCCUGCCCGGUGCCGGAAGGUUAAUUGAUGGGGUUAGCGCAAGCGAAGCUCUUGAUCGAAGCCCCGGUAAACGGCGGCCGUAACUAUAACGGUCCUAAGGUAGCGAAAUUCCUUGUCGGGUAAGUUCCGACCUGCACGAAUGGCGUAAUGAUGGCCAGGCUGUCUCCACCCGAGACUCAGUGAAAUUGAACUCGCUGUGAAGAUGCAGUGUACCCGCGGCAAGACGGAAAGACCCCGUGAACCUUUACUAUAGCUUGACACUGAACAUUGAGCCUUGAUGUGUAGGAUAGGUGGGAGGCUUUGAAGUGUGGACGCCAGUCUGCAUGGAGCCGACCUUGAAAUACCACCCUUUAAUGUUUGAUGUUCUAACGUUGACCCGUGAUCCGGGUUGCGGACAGUGUCUGGUGGGUAGUUUGACUGGGGCGGUCUCCUCCUAAAGAGUAACGGAGGAGCACGAAGGUUGGCUAAUCCUGGUCGGACAUCAGGAGGUUAGUGCAAUGGCAUAAGCCAGCUUGACUGCGAGCGUGACGGCGCGAGCAGGUGCGAAAGCAGGUCAUAGUGAUCCGGUGGUUCUGAAUGGAAGGGCCAUCGCUCAACGGAUAAAAGGUACUCCGGGGAUAACAGGCUGAUACCGCCCAAGAGUUCAUAUCGACGGCGGUGUUUGGCACCUCGAUGUCGGCUCAUCACAUCCUGGGGCUGAAGUAGGUCCCAAGGGUAUGGCUGUUCGCCAUUUAAAGUGGUACGCGAGCUGGGUUUAGAACGUCGUGAGACAGUUCGGUCCCUAUCUGCCGUGGGCGCUGGAGAACUGAGGGGGGCUGCUCCUAGUACGAGAGGACCGGAGUGGACGCAUCACUGGUGUUCGGGUUGUCAUGCCAAUGGCACUGCCCGGUAGCUAAAUGCGGAAGAGAUAAGUGCUGAAAGCAUCUAAGCACGAAACUUGCCCCGAGAUGAGUUCUCCCUGACUCCUUGAGAGUCCUGAAGGAACGUUGAAGACGACGACGUUGAUAGGCCGGGUGUGUAAGCGCAGCGAUGCGUUGAGCUAACCGGUACUAAUGAACCGUGAGG
rnacentral:rRNA from 1 species